AGAGUUUGAUCAUGGCUCAGAUUGAACGCUGGCGGCAGGCCUAACACAUGCAAGUCGAGCGGAAACGAUGGGUGCUUGCACCCAGGCGUCGAGCGGCGGACGGGUGAGUAACGCGUGGGAAUCUACCCAGUAGCGGGGGAUAGCCCGGAGAAAUCCGGAUUAAUACCGCAUACGCCCUACGGGGGAAAGGCCGGGAUCUUCGGACCGGUCACUAUUGGAUGAGCCCGCGUUGGAUUAGCUAGUUGGUGGGGUAAAGGCCUACCAAGGCAACGAUCCAUAGCUGGUCUGAGAGGAUGAUCAGCCACACUGGGACUGAGACACGGCCCAGACUCCUACGGGAGGCAGCAGUGGGGAAUAUUGCACAAUGGGCGCAAGCCUGAUGCAGCCAUGCCGCGUGUGUGAAGAAGGCCUUAGGGUUGUAAAGCACUUUCAGUAGUGAGGAAGGCUUGAUACUUAAUAAGUAUCAGGAUUGACGUUAGCUACAGAAGAAGGACCGGCUAACUCCGUGCCAGCAGCCGCGGUAAUACGGAGGGUCCGAGCGUUAAUCGGAAUGACUGGGCGUAAAGCGCGCGUAGGUGGUUAUUUAAGUUGGAUGUGAAAGCCCUGGGCUCAACCUGGGAACUGCAUCC
rnacentral:rRNA from 1 species